CUCACCUCUGCAAAACCUCUCAGAUCACCUCCCUCCAUCACUUCCAUCCCCGACCACUUCUGAGCACAGCCACCUAUCAGCUAGCCAUCAAUCAAACUUCUAAUCUAUACUUAUCUCCAUCAUAGCUUCUCUCUUAUCAAAAACAGUAACCUAGAAGCUAGGAUUGAGAGAGAUAAGAUUAGGGCUAGCUUCAACAGCUGGAGAACAUCAAAUCAAAGAGUUGCAGAGUUGAAUUGCAGAAUGGGUUCGUCGGAAAAAGCGUUUUGGGCUCCUCUCAGCUGUUAAUCAACAAUGAUGCUUCCUGAAUUUGUUUCACCUGUAUAAGACAAAAGCAACAAAUAUGAUUAAGACAAAAGUUAGAGGGAGGUCACUUGCAUAAGGUGGAAGCAUGGAUAGUAUUUGAUAAGUUUCUUUACUGAAUCAGUAGAUAUGGCUUUAACCAGGCAGUGGUCUUUUGUCAAGUUGAUCACUAGCUUUCAAGCAGGUUCAUAGUAGAGACGAUGGGUAUGAAUAUAAUCUUAAGGGCACCAAGACAACCACCAAAAGUGAUUUCUGCCUUGUUUUGUUUUUUGUGAAAUAAAAGAAUGAACAUCUCUGCCCAUAUUUGAAGUUCACAUUGUCAUUGUGUUAAAGCGUCAGUGACUAGUGAUUAAGAACAAUAGGAAUGAUAGAUUUUUCUUUGAGGUGACUCAAAUCAAUAGCACAACUACUUGUUACUAAUGGCCGCUCAACCGGUAUUCAUUAAUUCCAUUUGUCUUCUGUCCAGCUUUUCGAUAUCCUUCGUUCGGGUUCUUCUCUUUUUUCAAAUACUCUUCUCAUUACAUUGUCACUGGUCUUGGAUGCAAGUAAAAAAGGUCUAUUUUUGAUUUGAAUCGCAGGAAGGUGGAUGGCCCUUAGGAUUACAACCAUUGAAGGUGAGAGUUGGUUUGGUGAGGAAUCGUGAUUUUUCGGGGAUAAAUAUUAUCUUAAGGGCACCAAGACAACCACCAACACUAACUUUGAAACAGGUCCAUAGGAGAGAUGAUGGGCAUAAGUAUUAUCUUAGGGCACCAAGACAACCACCAAAAGUGAUUUCUGCCUUGUCGAUUUCUGUGCCUUGAUGAGAUCAGGUUAGCUAUCGAUAGUAAUUAAAGCAAUGGAAAGAUCAAAGAGCUGCUAAUGGAGGAUCAAUAUGUUAAGCUGAGGAAACACUACCAGAAACAGUCCGAUAUCUGAGCCUCUCCAGAGACCAAAAGCCCCCCAACCAUCAUUCUGGGAACUGCUUGAGAAAUUAAAGCAUCGGCAGAUACUUCAAGCCUAAGCAUCCCUUUGAGCAACAAGGCAGUCAAACUACAACAGUGGCUCCCGAUAUUUGAAUUCAUUGAUCUGUAAAUACCAAUGUAGACGGCUGGUUUCAUGAUUAUCAUAUUUUGAGGUUGUGUUUUAACCUCUAGAGCUCAGAUUAGUGGGUAAUAGAGUUAUGUGCUCUGGAUGUUUUUUUCUUUUUCCUUCUGAUGUAUGUGUACUUUGAGAAAACACAGCAUAACCAGGCACCUUCAAAUAA